GAGUUGUAUGAAAGGAGAGAGGGUUCACACUCCCCUCAAUAAGGAUGGAAGGGGUCCUGGUGGUCUUACAACAUUCAAAUGGUUAAGGCAUUGUAAUCUACUUAGUGGCAUCUAACCACGCUU